rnacentral:rRNA from 1 species
GACGAACGCUGGCGGCGUGCUUAACACAUGCAAGUCGAACGGAAAGGCCCUGCUUUUGUGGGGUGCUCGAGUGGCGAACGGGUGAGUAACACAUGAGUAACCUGCCCUUGACUUUGGGAUAACUUCAGGAAACUGGGGCUAAUCCCGGAUCGGAGCUCCUGCUGCAUGGUGGGGGGUGGAAAGUUUCGGCGGUUGGGGAUGGACUCGCGGCUUAUCAGCUUGUUGGUGGGGUAGUGGCUGACCAAGGCUUUGACGGGUAGCCGGCCUGAGAGGGUGACCGGCCACAUUGGGACUGAGAUACGGCCCAGACUCCUACGGGAGGCAGCAGUGGGGAAUAUUGCACAAUGGGCGGAAGCCUGAUGCAGCAACGCCGCGUGCGGGAUGACGGCCUUCGGGUUGUAAACCGCUUUCGCCUGUGACGAAGCGGGAGUGACGGUAAUGGGUAAAGAAGCACCGGCUAACUACGUG